rnacentral:rRNA from 1 species
CCUACGGGUGGCAGCAGUGAGGAAUAUUGGUCAAUGGACGAAAGUCUGAACCAGCCAAGUAGCGUGAAGGAUGACGGCCCUAUGGGUUGUAAACUGCUUUUAUAUGGGAAUAAACCGGGGUAUGCAUACCCUCUUUUAUGUACCCUAUGAGUAAAGGUCGGCUAACUCCGUGCCCGCAGCCGCGGUAAUCCGGAGGGUCCGCGCGUUAUCCGGAUUUAUUGGGUUUAAAGGGGGCGUCGUGGGAUUGUUAAGUCAGUUGUGAAAGUUUGCGGCUCAACCGUGGAAUUGCAGGUGAUACUGGAAGUCUGGAGUGCAGUCGAGGAGGGCGGAAUUCGUGGUGUAGCGGUGAAAUGCUUAGAUAUCAUGAAGAACUCCGAUUGCGAAGGCAGCUCACCGGGCUGCAACUGACACUGAUGCUCGAAAGUGUGGGUAUCAAACAGGAUUAGAUACCCGGGUAGUC